rnacentral:rRNA from 1 species
GACAAACGCUGGCGGAAUGUAUUAGGCAUGCAAGUCGCACGAACCUUCGGGUUAGUGGCGGACGGGUGAGUAACACGUGGGUAACCUGCCUCGUAGUGGGGAAUAACUCGCCGAAAGGCGAGCUAAUACCGCAUAACACCCUCGGUGAGAAUCCGAGUGGUAAAAGCUCCGGCGCUAUGAGAGGGGCCCGCGGCCGAUUAGCUUGUUGGUGGGGUAAUGGCCUACCAAGGCGACGAUCGGUAGCUGGUCUGAGAGGAUGGUCAGCCACACGGGGACUGAGAUACGGCCCCGACUCCUACGGGAGGCAG